AGGAUCAGAAUACUUUAAUAAGAUAUCAGUGUCAAAAUACAUUUCCUUAUAAAGUUAAGCUCUCAUAUAGUUAUACUGUUGUCAGUAGGAAUUCGACAAUAUGAUAAACUUCAUGAGAUCGUUACGUUGACAGAUAAGGUUAAUACGAAGCUUGGAAUAUUUUUCAGAGUGUUUUAGUAAAACUGCAAGGGUAAAAUGCCCUUAAUGCUGGGGCAACACACACAGGAAAUCAAAUACCAGCGUGUACACGUCAGUAACCCUUCAAGUUCUGCUGCCGUGUGUGGGCAAUGCUGUGCCGCUAGAAUAUGCUGGAGGCAACACCGUGAAUACGUAAUUUUCCCCAUAGAACUUACAUUUGUUUUGAGAGUUAAUUUUUGGUUUUGGCACUAAGUCCAUCCAGGCUUACCAAAUGCUUGGCCUGAUGUGCAUUUGUGUGUGUGUGUGUGUGUGUGUGUGUGUGUGUGUGUUUUAGAAACUUCUCCAUUGUACUCAUGGCAGAAAAGUUCCAUAUGGUUGGUAUUUAAAAACCAAAGGUGUUGUCCCUCUGACCCAGUGAGUUACAAAGUGCCCUGGGAACACUCUGUUUUCAGUGCUUCCCACCUAUACACAUCGCUUCUCAUGACCCAGAGACCUCAGGGCCUGAGGCCGGGGACUGUCCGUGGAGGUCUGCCUGCUGCUGCCAGCAGGGUCACAGUACCGUGACCUGGCAGGGCCAAUCUGGCUGCAGGACCAGCAGCGCUCCCUGUGGGCACCUCCCUCUGUCCAGCUCUGUUGUACUCCAAGGUCGCGAGCCAGGAGGACGUGGACCGGGUCACUACAGCAUCUGUGAAUCCUCACUUUUCUUAUAUGAAUUCCCAUCUAAACCAUUUCAUGGUAGUUCUGGAAAUAUCCAAAUGUGCCGCGUGAAAGACCACCAGAGUCACAUAGCUCAGUGCACUUGAAGGGCUAGCAACGAAACCUUAAGAAGAGUUAAAGCACUUCCCCUCCCUCAGCACUUGCCCCACCCCCACCCGCCGACCCCGUGACGUGCCAUCAGACCCUCUUGGCAGCAAUAAUUAAUACACAUAUACAUAGUACAUAGAGAACGCGAGGAGACAGCUUGCAAUGCUCCCACUUAAGGAUUCCACGUCCCUGGAUUGUGUGUCACACCUAUGGCAUAUCACAAAAGCAGAAAGCCAACAGAGAGAGAGAUCUUUUUCAGGGUUAAUACAGGCCUGUGGGAGUUCUGUACAAUUCCGCAGUGUCAGCAACACCAAGAAAAAUAAAAUUAACAGCUUAAACAAGGUCAUAAAGUGAUUUUGUGAGCAGGAUUCCAUUUCCGUUUCUAAGUUUUUAGAUAUUACAAAGUACCCAUAUAUAUGAUAAAACACUUAACCCAGAUAUAAAUUCUCUUUUUAAAAAACUCAGUUAUGUUUUUGAAUAAUAAUAAUAAUACAAAACCCAUUGAAUGGGGGGAAAAACACCAAACAGUUUAGGAAAAGCCACACUGUGCAACUUUCACAGAAAACCACAUACGUUGGAGUUCACCCUUCACAUUUCUUUUUUUCUAAAAGUUAUAUCAAAAUUAGAGCAGAGAUUCGGCUUAAAAAAAAAAGACUGAAAUUUACAAUAUGGUGAUUAGUUUAAAAAAGAAAGGAGAAGGGUUUUGAAAAGGAGAAGUCACAAAUCAAGUUUGGAAAGCAAAAUCAUUUUUGUUUCUCUUUGGCAACAACAAUAACAAAGAAUCUUUUUAGUUAAAUGAAGCCAAAGCUUUCCCUACAGAACAAACAUAUACCAGACUUCUUGUUAGUAUGGAUAUCUGUGUGUGAAGAGGGAGGGAAGGAAAAAAACCUAUGGAAAAUAUAAAUUAGAAGUAAUUGAAGAUGGGAGAAAGAACAAGUCUUAUAAAAUUUAAGAACAUUUCCAUUAACAGAGCAAAACAGAGGAGGUAAAACAACUGCUUAUUUUAAAAAUAUGGAUAAUAAAGUGAGCAUCUCAGAAAAAGGCCACUGCUGGGUGACCUGGGCAAGUCUGCCAGGUAAGUCCAUCUUGUAAAAAGUGUGCUGGCGUUAGAAAUACCUAGUUGCAAAAACA